rnacentral:rRNA from 1 species
UGAUUUCACUGUAGCAAUACAGUGGAGUUGGAGCGGCGCAAGGGUGCGUAACACGUGGGUAAUUUGCCGUGAAGUUGGGGAUAACUCGCUGAAAGGCGAGCUAAUACCGGAUGUGAAGUUUGGGUGGCAUCACCUGACCUUUAAAGCUGGGGAUCGUAAGACCUGGCGCUUCAUGAUAAGCCCGCGGCCUAUCAGCUAGUUGGUGAGGUAACGGCUCACCAAGGCUAAGACGGGUAGCUGGUCUGAGAGGACGACCAGCCACACUGGAACUGAGACACGGUCCAGACACCUACGGGUGGCAGCAGUCGAGAAUUUUUCUCAAUGGGCGCAAGCCUGAAGGAGCGACGCCGCGUGGGGGAUGAAGGGUUUCGAUCCGUAAACCCCUGUCAUUUGUGAACAAUGGUUAU